UACGAAGGGUGCUAGCGUUGUUCGGAAUUACUGGGCGUAAAGGGCAUGUAGGUCGUGUGACAAGUUAGUGGUGAAACCCCGGGGCUCAACCUCGGAAUUGCCAUUAAAACUGUUGUGCUAGAGUGUAGGAGAGGAUAGCGGAAUACCCAGUGUAGAGGUGAAAUUUGUAGAUAUUGGGUAGAACACCAGAAGCGAAGGCGGCUAUCUGGCCUAUUACUGACGCUGAUAUGCGAAAGCGUGGGGAUCAAAC
rnacentral:rRNA from 1 species